rnacentral:lncRNA from 1 species
CUAAAUAUACUGAGUAUGAAACAUAAGUUUUAAAUUAAAUAUAUGAAAUUGAAAGACUCUAAAAAUUGUCUAUCUAUGAAGCCUCUACUAUACAAAAAUGAGUGUCAGGACAAGACCCACGACUCCUCAAAAGAAUUACUACUAACAAUAAAACUGGAGUCCUCCGGAAGCAAGGAGGUCUUACUCAAAAGCUGACGAGUGGAUGAAGGGAUCUCAACAUACUCUUGUUAAGGAUCUUAAGAACAUGUACCCGCAUCAUUAAAAGAUCCAGGUUGAAUAACAUCAAUACAUUGAAUGUUCGAGUAUGUAAUAUAGUUGAAUAACAAAUAACUGAAAGAAAGGACUGCUCUCGUCUGUGGUGCCAGUCCAACAAUCUGGUGGUCCAGCAGCCUCGGCUCGCCUUGCGCUACUUUCAGAAAAUAAAAAAUAAAAAAUAGAAAGUAAUAGAAAGUAGAAUUCCUGAGUCUGGCAAUAAAUAACAAUGAACUCAAGUUGAAUGUAAAUAAAUAAAGGAGUAAAAUCAUUUAAAGUUUUUCAAAAUACUUUCUCAUCUCUUAACUCAACAUAAUAAGUGAUAUAUAAAAAUACACUUUAACUCUAUUGGGAGAUUCUCUAACUGACAACCAUCACUAUGAGCUACAUGAUGAUACAACGUCUCGCCCACACUGCCAGAACUGUCAUAUACCUUGUCGGCGUAUAGAACACCUCAACUAAGUGGAUCCACUAAGCUAUGCUUAAAAGCAAUAAUGAAUCACCUAAUAAGUAUGACCUUUUACUAAUGUUGGCAUACAUGGUUUAUGGGGGUUGUGACUUGUCUGAACUCUCUCCCAUAUCAGUGCUCAAUACUACUCCCAAUAAUAUAUACUCAUGCUCAUAUGUUUGAAAAAACAUAACUCUUCCUCUGGAUUGAGAUAAUUUCUCAAACUACCUUCUUAAAAGAGGUAACUGCUCUUGAAAUAACUUUUGAACUCAUAACUCAUUUAGAAAUCUCAGUUUCUCUUUUAUCAAUGUAAAAAUUGAUGCCUCUAGGAAUACAUAGUCCCCUUAUAUUCAUACUUGAAAACUCUUUCUCAAAAAAAUAAAAAUCAUAUUAUAAUAUGAUCAUUGAUGACUUGGGAAGUCAUAUACUGCAUAAGCAUUAAUGGUAUAUCUAGAUACCAUACUGCUUAAACAUUGAUGGCAUACUCGGUUGUCAUACUAAUCAUGUUUUAGAAAUUCUUUCUUCAAAACUCAUCUUUACUUCCUCAAAACUCAGUUUAAAACUCAAGUGUUGGCUUUAAAAAACUUGUCAAAAUUUAUAACUCAAUUCAUAGGGUUCAUGCGGAAUUAUGGGCAUGAACGAUUCAAAUCAGGGAUCUUAAGAGCAAUAUGAAAACUUAGUACUCAGAACUCAAGAACUCAAAACUCAACAAUAUUACUCAUCUCAUGAAUACUCAAUUCAUAGGGUUCAUGUUGAAAUAUAGACAUGAACGAAUCAAUUCGAGAAUCUUAAUGCAUAACAUAUAGAAAUUAAAUAAUUAGGAAUAGAAUUUGAAAAAGAAAUAGGAACUCAAGAACUCAAAAUCAACUUAUCUCAAGAAUACUCAAAUCUAGGGAUAUAAUCCUAGAUUACUCUUUUACUGAUUUGAAAGUAGAUGUAGGGCGUGAGGACGAAUUAGUCCAACACUAUGAUAGCCUUACAUACCUGGAAGAACAAGGUUCAUGAAGAGUCUUGAAGAAGAACUUGAUUAGAAGCCUUGAAAUCCUAGCUUAAAGGAGAAAAAGCAAGAAGACCUUUCUUGAGAUUUCUUGAAUUAGUUUCUUGAAACUUUAUGAUCAAGAAUUAGGAUUCUCAUUAAUGAUUCAUAAUUGCAUGAAGAAAAUUGAGUUGGAAAGAAUGGAAUUCUUGGAGAAAGACUUAUCUUGAAGAAGAAUCUUGAAAAAAUUGAAAGAAUCUCGAAUGGAGUCUUCUACUUUGAUUUUUCCCUUAGGGUUUUGUCUUAUGGUUUGAGAGAGAAGAGAAUGGGGGAUUAAGAUAUGAAAAUUUGAUUGGUUUUGGUCUUUAAUUAGUCAAGAAAUUAUUUUAGUGUUUUCUUAGAGGUAAAAAGACAAAAAAAGACCCUUUUUAAUGAUUUUAUGUCGGCUAAUUCAUCACUGCACUGUAGCAAAUUACUUGUAAUGACCCUCCUGGUCAUUUCUAUGUUUUGCCUUGGUGUGUCGUUUAGAGCGUUCCUGUAGCGAUCUCAAGUCAUUUAUGACUUGCUGGGACUGACAGUUCGGUCACCUGGUUGUUCGUUUGACUUUUGUGUGAGUUUUAGUGUUUUUGGAGCUUAUGAACCUUGAAUGAUCGUUUUCGAUCAAAAGUUCAAGAAGAUGACAUCAGAAUUCAAUUCUAACAAUUCCAUCAGCUCCAAAAGGGUCAUUUUAGGCUAGUAGCAUAGUCGACAUCACUCCCGAGGUUUUCAGUGUGAGUCGGUGCGAUUAGGCGUUUUAACUUUAAGUUUAAGCCUAAGUCUGACUUUAGUCAACAUUCUGAGUAAACACACUCGGAUGAGAAUUUCGUCAGAGCAGUUAGCUCCGAAAUGUCGAGUUUGGUCUAGAUUGACCCUUCUUUUGUGUCUCGAGGUUUCCGAUAUUUUUAAGACCCCUUUUGUGGUUUCUAACUUAAAAUGACAUUUGAGUGUGGAACCCACUUUUGUCAAGAUGACCUCUUUGGAAAUUUUGACUGCGCCAUUGAGUCCGGAAUAUCAAAUUUGGUAUGGUUGUAUAUCUCGUUUGCGUGCACGGGGUUCCGAACGAUAUUGGAGCACCCUGUCGGAGUUUUAAGUUUUGGAAAGAAAUUGCAGAAAAAUCUGCUAUAAAUGCAGAAAAUAUAAGCAGCCCUUUCCAAACCUAAAACACUCAUAACUCUCUCAUCUCUCAACCGAAUUAGGCAAUUCGAAGUACGGGAGCUUCGUAUUUUCGGUGGCUUCACUGUAGAGUGUUCGGAAGUUGUCGGGUGUGCGUCGUUCGAGAUAAAUUUGGUUAUAAACCUGACUGUUAGGGCCUUUUUCGAGUUUUUGUUUUUGGCAUCCUUGUUUUGGUCAUAUCUCACUCAUUUUAGCUCGAUUUUGGGUGAUUCAAAGUCUCACGUGUUGGGAAUUGUCGUGAAUUUGUCGUAGAGUGUUCAAGGAAUGUUGGGCACCUUUCGAUUCUCAUAACUUUUGAGUUUAGACUGCUGCAUGUUUUCUUUUAAGUUGAUUAAAGUGUGAUUUUUCCUUGCAUGUUGGGUUUUGCUGCGUUUUGUGCCCCGAAUUGUGUUCCAUUUUGGAACACAAGUUCGGGGUAUUGUUUUGGGUCUCUUGACGGAGUCAAAUACGAACAGUUCGGUGCGGGUACCACGAUUCCCAUUUUGAUCCAAAUUUGACCCAUCUCUGUUUGUUGUGAUUUUUGUGUCUAAACGACUGUACUAACGUUGUGAUCCUAUAUUUGAUAGAGUGGCAGCGUUUAAGGGUCGUUCGGGAAGGAAAAGCUCCGACAAAGUGAUUUAGAGCACGCGCGGUCGGCCUGAAGGUAGGCUACGACUUCCUUUCUUUUAGAUUGAGCUUAAUUAUGUAAAAGCAUGUCGAUUGGAGUGAAUUGGGGAUGGGUACCAGUUUCCUACUUUACUUUGAUUAGAUACCUUAUAUUAGUAUCGAUUGGCCAUAUUUCAGGGUAGUAUCAUGUUAACCGGUUUAGUAGAGUUGCAUGCCUAUGUGUUAAAUGCUAUUGUAUGCUUGUAUGCUAUGCGUUAUAUGCCUUGUUUAUCCUUAACUGUAAGAAUGAUGUCCUCAGUCUAGGUUAGGCUAGCAUUGCCUUAGACUUAUGACCCGUGUGGAAUGGAUAGUCUUGACUUUCUGCCAACGUUGUUCGGAUAACUUAGCUCUUUGUAGACUGGAGUAGCAGACUUGAGUCUGAUAGUUUGAGCCUUAGAUUAGGCGUUAUCGCUGCUUGCUGCACUUCUGUAUCUUCUCCUUCUAGUCCCGACGCAUUCUCGAAGGUUUGGUACAUCACUAAAGGUGUGGAGUUGAGAUAGUAUAGGCUUGGAGCCUUUUCUGUGAUUUCUUAGAGUGGAGAGCGUUCCAUGGUGGUUCUUGUUGGAUUGGAUCCUAUUAGAGAUACCAUCACCCAUGGGGUCGUUCUUUCUAGCUGGGCUAGGAGAGUAUCGCUGGCUGGGUAGACUCGGUGAUAUGAGCGAUCUCCCUCGGGCCUCUCUUUCUAGCUGGGCUGGGAGUGUGCUGCUGGCUGGGUGUCCCCGGGUCGCUCUUUCUAGUUGGGAUGGGAGCUGAUUGCAUGGUAGGACGACUCGCGAUAUCUACCUCACUCACGGGUCCCUCUUUCUAGCUGGGCUGGGAGUGGACUGUUUGGUUGGGUGCCUCCUAGGGUCACUCUUUCUAGCUGGGCUGGGAGUGCAUUGCUGGCUUGGUGGAGUUUGAUGGAUUAUCUUGGUUACUUUGGGCUGGGAGCCCGGUUUUCUUCUUUCUCAUUAGACUUAGUUAUUCUGUGUACCUGUCGGGCUUAUGGGCGUCCGUUCAGGUUUUAUUUAAACUUAUGCACUAGUGUACCUUCUGGGUUUAUGGGGGUCUAGUAUGCUCAUGUGCUUUUUUUUCAUAUCCCCUUUGACUUUUCUGUGUCUAGAUGCCAUCAUUUCUUAUUGUUUUUACCCUUUUUGCUGAGUCGGCCUAUGAUGCCUACUGAGUACAUGUUGUUUUGGUACUCAUGCUACGCUCUGCAUCUACUUCGUGAUCUAGGUCCCAAUACCAGUUACCAGCGGUGAUUAGUUCCAGUUUUCUUUUGCAGCUGUGAUUAGGAGAUGAGGGCGAGCACUUGGCGUUUUGGGUUUGUCUUGUCUCCUUCUUUUGUUUUAACUAGUCUUGUUGCCUUUGAGACACGCUUUGUUGUGGUCCACUUUUGGGACUUGUACUCUUUAUUAGAUAGCUCUGUACUAGUGACUUCCAGGUUCUGGGAGGGAUUUCUGUAUAUAUUUAUUUUGGUUUUCUUCCGCCUUGUUGUCCUUGUUUAGAUUAUUAUUUUCUCUAGUUUCUGCCCUUUCGCUCAUUGCUUGAUGUUGUGGGUUACGGGUUGGCUUACCUACUGGUAGGGCACUAUGGUGCCAUCAUGACUCGAGAAAUCGGGUCCUGACAAGUUGGUAUCAGAGCCCCAGGUUCAUCGGUCUCACUUGUACUGAGCUAACGUCUAGUAGAGUCCUGCGGAUCGGUGCGGAGACGUCCGUAACUUAUCUUCGGGAGGCUACAGGAUGUCUUUAGGAAGAUUUCCUCUUUUGUUUCACUUUCGUGCAACGUGUGUCUUAUCGGUUCUUUGAAAUCUCACUUGUUUCACUAUUUCGCAGGAUAGCUCGAUCGCGAGGUGGCAAGGCCAGGUGUGAUGCACCCGGGCCUGUAGAUAGACCCCCAGCUUGGGGUAGACGCCGACCCCAAGGUCGAGACAGGGUCACAGCACCAGCCCAGGAGAGAGAUGAAGAUCCAGAGCCAGUAGCAGACCCUCCAGCACCUCGUAUACCAGAUCAGCCGGUGGGGCCGAGGCCAGCCCAACCGGCACCCGGACUAGUUUGGACUCCAGAUUUCCAGGAAGCUAUUGCUCAGCUCCUGGGUGUGCUUGGGGUUAUGCAGCAUCCACCCGCCCUAGCUACACCAGCACUAGUACCGCAGGAUCAGCCUACAGUGAGGGCGCCUCAGGUCCAGGUACCACCUGAGGGAGUACAUCCCUUGGCAGCGAACAUACCUAUCCCGCUUGAGGACCAGAAAAUGCUUGGUGUGUUUCUCAGGUUGAUGCCACCGAGGUUUUCUGGGGCUGUGGGUGAGGAUGCCCACGAGUUUCUUACUACCUUCCGUGAGAGGCUUCGCACUUUGGGUCUAGUGGAGUCUAGAGGGGCCAACUUCAUUGCUUACCAGCUAGAUAGGCCAGCCAGGCAAUGGUGGCGCACAUUCAUUCAGACUAGUCUAGUUAGAUCUCCACCGGUAUCAUGGGAUCAGUUUUCUCAGGCAUUCUUGGCCAAGUUUAUCCCUCGUAGCGUCAGAGACCGCCUCAGGGAUCAGUUCUACAGGUUGGAGCAAUGCUCCAUAUCGGUGGCAGAGUACGAGACUAGGUUCCACGAGCUCUCUCGUCAUGCCUAGAUGAUAUUACCUACAGAAGAUGAUAGAGUUAGGUGCUUUGUUCGUGGGUUGAGAUUACAGCUUCGACUUGAGUCCAAGUCCUUAGUUUCUGCGAGUCAAUCUUUUUUAGACGUAGUUGACCAUGCCAGUACUAUGGAGCAUCUUCGUCGCGAGGCCCAAGAGGGCAGAAAGAAGAGGACUAGGCAUGAGGGCAGCUACAAUGACUUCUGCCCCAAGUCUAGGGAUUAUUAUGAUAGGACCGGACGACGGUUUCGACAGGGUCAGUUUAGCCGGCCUACCCAGGCCUCUCUUCAGGUAUCAGAUGGUGGUCGGAGCGAGGCCAGUUCAAGUUAGGGCCGUGAGGUGUUUCAGUAGGGUUCUUUAGGCCAUGGUGGUCAUUGUUCUGGGAGUCGUCCUCGACAGGGUUGCUAUGAGUGUGGUGAGAUGGGUCAUUGGGCCAGGGACUACCCUCAGCAUAGUCGGAUUGCUCCCGCUCCUCAGGCAGCUCCCCCAUCUUUACCAGCACCUCCAGCUAGAGGCCGUGGUCAAGGUCAGGAUCGUAGAGGUGGUCAUCAGGGUAUACGGGGUGGUCACCGAGGAAGCAGGUCAGGUGAUAGGUUUGAUGGUCAGGGCAGAGGCAGACAUAACCAUUUCUAUGCAGCUCCAACGAGGGUGGAGGCUGAGGAGUCAGACGAUGUGAUCAUAGGUACGAUUCUUUUAUGCCAGCAGCCCGCCUUGGCAUUAUUUGAUUCGGGCUCUACUUUUUCAUAUUUUUCUAUUUACUAUGCCUCUCGCUUUAGUAUUAUAUCUGAGCCUCUGGUAGCAUCGUUGCAUAUGUCGACCCCCGUGGGUGAGUCAUUAGUAGUGGAUCAGGUAUUUCGAUCUUGCUUAGUUACUAUCCAGGCAUGACACCCGGGCUAACCUCAUAUUGCUUGACAUAGUUGAUUUCGAUAUGAUUAUAGGAAUGGAUUGAUUAUCCCCUUAUUGCGUCGUUUUAGAUUGCUUCUUUAAGACCUUUACCUUAGUCAUUCUUGGUAUUCCUCCGGUGGUGUGGCAGGGAUCUGGUGGUAGCACACCAGUUGGGGUUAUCUCUUUUAUUCGGGCUAGGAGGCUAGUGGCUAGCAGAUGCUGAUCAUAUUUGGCAUUUGUGCGUGAUGUGAGUAGGGAGGUCCCUCCGGUUGAGUCAGUUAGUGUUGUUCAUGACUUCUUAGAUGUGUUUUCUACCGACCUACCUGGCCUAACCCAAGAGCGUGAUAUUGAUUUUUCGAUUGAGCUUGAGUUGGGUAUUCGACCUAUUUCUAUUUCGCCAUAUCGGAUGGAUCCUGCAGAGCUCAAGAAGCUAAGAGUUCAGUUUCAGGAUCUCUUGGGUAAGGGAUUUAUCAGUCCUAGUGUAUCACCUUGGGGCUCUCCUGUUCUUUUUGUUAAGAAGAAGGACGGUACGAUGCGCAUGUGCAUUGACUAUAGGCAGUUGAAUAAGGUGACAAUGAAGAAUCGAUAUCCUCUGCUUCGGAUUGAUGACCUAUUUGACCAGCUACAUGGAGCUUCAGUGUUCUCUAAGAUUGAUUUGAGGUCCGGUUACCACCAGUUGAGGAUUAGGGCAGCGGACAUCCCUAAGACUGCAUUUAGGACCCAUUAUGGCCAUUAUGAGUUCUUGGUGAUGUCAUUUGGGUUGACUUAUCCCUCUGCUGCCUUUGUGAACUUGAUGACGCGCGUGUUUAGGCCUUAUCUUGAUUCCUUCGUCAUAAUCUUCAUUGAUGACAUUUUGAUAUACUCGCGGAGUAGGGGUGAUCAUGAGCAGCAUUUAAGAGUUGUGCUCCAGACUUUGAGAGAUUAGCGGAUUUAUGCCAAGUUCUCAAAGUGCCAGUUUUGGUUAGACUCUAUAGUGUUCUUGGGGCACGUUGUAUCCAAGGAGGGCAUUAUGGUAGAUCCGGCGAAUAUUGAGGCUAUUCGUGAUUAGGCUAGGCCUACCUCAGUUAUUGAGAUUCGGAGCUUCAUCGAACUAGCAGGCUACUACAGACGAUUUGUGGAGGGUUUCUCUACCUUGGCAGCACCUUUGACCCGGUUGACUUGUGUUGAUGUUCCCUUUGUUUGGUCAAAGGAAUGUGAGGCGAGCUUUUUGAGGCUCAAGGAGUAAUUGACCACCGCUCCUAUAUUGACUCUUCCAGUUGAGGGCGAGGGCUUCACAGUUUAUUGUGACGCAUCCAGCGUUGGUUUUGGUUGUGUAUUGAUGCAGCAGGGCCGUGUUAUUGUUUAUGCGUCGAGGCACUUAAGAUUCAUGAGCGCAACUACCCCACCCAUGACUUGGAGUUGGCGGCGGUAGUUUUCGCACUUAAGAUUUGGAGGCACUACUUGUAUGGAGUUCGAUGUGAGAUCUAUACCGAUCAUAGGAGUCUUAGUAGAUCAUGAGCCAGAGGGACCUUAAUUCGAGGCAGCGUCAUUGGAUUGAGCUCCUGAAGGACUACGACCUCUCUAUUAUUUAUCAUCCAGGCAAGGCAAUGUGGUAGCGAACGCCUUGAGCCGGAAGGCGGUGAGUAUGGGUAGUCUAGCCUUCUUAUCUCUUGAGGAUCGACUCUUGGCUUUGGACAUUUAGUUCUUAGCUAAUAGCAUGGUUCUGUUGGAUAUCUCAGAUUCUAGAUGCGUCUUGGAGUAUAUGGGAGUUCAAUCUUCUUUGCUUGAUAGGAUCCGUGGUUGUCAAUUUGAGGAUGAGGCCUUGGUGGUCCUUAGAGAUCGAGUAUUAGCAGGUGAUGGUGGUCAGACUACCUUAGAUCCUGAUGGAGUGUUGAUAUUCGUCGGCCGCAUCUAUGUUCCGAGAGUUGGGGAUUUGAUACAGUUGAUACUUUCUAAGGAUCAUGAGUCUAGAUACUCUAUCCAUUCGGGCACAACGAAGAUGUAUCGUGAUUUGAGGCAGCAUUACUUGUGGAGUGGCAUGAGGAGAGAUAUUGCUGACUUUGUUUCCCGUUGCUUGUGCUUCCAACAGGUAAAGGCCGAGCAUUUGAGGCCUGGUGGUGAGUUUCAGAGAUUACCCAUUUCGGAGUGGAAGUGGGAUCGCAUUACUAUGGAUUUUGUGGCUGGCUUACCGCGGACUUCUAGAGGUGUUGAUAGCAUUUGGGUCAUCGUAUAUUGAUUGACCAAGUCAGAACGUUUCCUUCCUAUUCAGUCUUCAUUUAGCGCCGAGAGGUUAGCUCGUAUCUACAUUCGGAAGGUGGUUCGACUUCAUGAGGUGCCAGUUUCUAUUAUAUCAGAUCGGGGUUCUCAGUUCACGUCUAGCUUUUGAGGGACCUUUCAGGAUGAGUUGGGCACUCGAGUUGACCUUAAGGUGGUUCGACUUCAUGAGGUGCCAGUUUCUAUUAUAUCAGAUCGGGGUUCUCAGUUCACGUCUAGCUUUUGAGGGACCUUUCAGGAUGAGUUGGGCACUCGAGUUGACCUUAGCACAACUUUCCACCUGUAGAUUGAUGGUCAGUCGGAGUGUACUAUUCAUGUCCUUGAGGACAUGCUGCGGGCUUGUGUUUUGAAAUUUGGUGGUCAUUGGGACCAGUUCUUGCCAUUGGCGGAGUUUGGGUAUAACAACAGCUACCAUUCUAGCAUUCAGAUGGCCUCGUUCGAGGCCUUGUAUGGUAGGCGUUGUCGCUUUCCGGUGGGCUGGUUUGAGUCUACAGAGCCUAGGCCGCGGAGUACAUAUUUGAUUCAAGAGUCUUUGGACCAGGUGAGAGUGAUUAAGGAUAGACUUAGGACGGCUCAGAGUAGGCACCAGAGUUGUGCAGAUCGGAGGCGGUCGACCUUUGAGAUUCUUUGUUGGUGAUCGGGUAUUUCUCCGUGUGUCACCCAUGAAGGGCUUGAUGAGGUUUGGGAGGCGGGGCAAGCUUUGCCCCAGGUACAUUGGGCCUUUUGAGAUACUCCGGACAGUUGGGGAGGUUGCUUAUGAGUUGGCCCUACCUCCAACAUUUUCAACCAUCCACCCGAUUUUCCAUGUCUCGAUGUUGCGCCGGUAUGUUACUGAUGAGUCCCAUGUGCUCCAGUAUGAUGCAGUCGAGUUGGAUGACCGUUUGACAUUUGUAGAGGAGCCAAUUGCCAUUCUAGCCAGUGAUGUGAGGAGGUUGUGCUCGAGAGCCAUUCCUAUUGUUAAGGUCCAUUGGAUGCAUCGUCCAGUCGAGGAGGCUACCUGGGAGACCAAGCAGGAGAUGCGAGAGCAGUUUCCCAGCUUGUUUGAGCCUUCAGGUACUUCUUGACCCUUACUUUCGCGGACGAAAGUCCUUCUUAGUAGUGGAUAUUGUAAUGACCCUCCUGGUCAUUUCUGUGUUGUGCCUUCGGUGUUUCGUCUAGAGCGUUCCUGUAGCGACCCCAAGUCAUUUAUCACUUGCUGGGACUUACAGUUCGGUCAACUGGUCGUUCGUUUGACUUUUGUGCGAGUUUUAGUGUUUUUGGAGCAUAUGAACCUUGAACGAUCAUUUUCGAUCAAAAGUUUAAGAAAAUGACAUCAGAAUCCAAUUCUAACGAUUCCAUCAGCUCUGGAAGGGUCAUUUUAGGCUAGUAGCAUGGUCGGCAUGACUCCCGAGGAUUUCAGUGUGAGUCAGGGCGAUUAGGCGUUUUAACUUUAAGUUUUAAAGCCUAAGUUUGACUUUAGUCAACAUUCUGAGUAAACACGCUUGGAUGAGAAUUUCGUCAGCGCGGUUAGCUCCGGAAUGUCGAGUUUGGUCUAGAUUGACCCUUCUUUUGUGUCCCGAGAUUUCUGAUAUUUUUUCGAGCCUUUUCUGUUAUUUCUUAGAGUGGACGGUGUUCCAUGGUGGCUGUUGUUGGAUUGGAUCCUAUUAGAGAUAUCAUCACCCAUGGGGUCGUUCUUUCUAGCUGGGCUGGGAGAGUAUCGCUGGCUGGGUAGACUCGGUGAUAUCAGCGAUCUCCCCCGAGCCUCUCUUUCUAGCUGGGUUGGGAGUGUGCUGCUGGCUGGGUGUCCCCGGGUCACUCUUUCUAGCUGGGAUGGGAGCUGACUGCAUGGUAGGACGACUCGCGAUAUCUACCUCACUCACGGGUCCCUCUUUCUAACUGGGCUGGGAGUGGACUGUUUGGUUGGGUGCCCCCUAGGGUCUCUCUUUCUAGCUGGGCUGGGAGUGCAUUUCUGGCUUGGUGGAGUCUAAUGGAUUAUCUUGGUUACUUUGGGCUGGGAGCCCGGUUUUCUUCUUUCUCAUUAGACUUAGUUAUUCUGUGUACCUGUCGGGCUUAUGGGGGUCCGUUCAGGUUUUAUUUAAACUUGCGCACGAGUGUACCUUCUGGGCUUAUGGGGGUCCAAUUAGGUUUAGUUUAGUUGUACUUAGUUUAUUUCUGGUAUGCUCGUGUGCUUUCUUUUCAUAUCCAUUUUGACCUUUGUGUGUCUAGAUUAUAUCCUUUCUUAUUGUUUUUACCCUUUUUGCUCAGUCGGCUUGUGAUGCCUACUGAGUACCUAUUGUUUUGGUACUCAUGCUACGCUCUGCAUCUACUUCGAGAUGCAGGUCCCAGUACCAGUUACCAGCGGUGAUUAGUUCCAGCCUUCUUUUGCAGCUGUGAUUCGGAGACGAGGGCAAGUACUUGGCGUUUUGGGUUUGUCUUGUCUCCUUCUUUUGUUUUAGCUAGUCUUGUUGCCUUUGAGACACGCUUUGUUGUGGUCCACUUUUGGGACUUGUACUCUUUAUUAGAUAGCUCUGUACUAGUGACUUCCAGGUUCUGGGAGUGAUUUCUGUAUAUAUUUAUUUUGGUUUGCUUCCGCCUUGUUGUCCUUGUUUAGAUUAUUGUUUUUGGUAGUUUCUGCACUUUCGCUCAUUGCUUGAUGUUAUGGGUUACCGGUUGGUUUACCUACUGGUAGGGCAUAGUAGGUGCCAUCAUGACUCGAGAAAUUGGGUCGUGACAUUACUAAAAUAGUCAAAGCUUUUUACUCAAAACUUGAAUUGACGCUAAAUUGGUGGCUUUGGAAAAAAAACUCAAAUACCUUUAAUUUGAUAGCCACGUAACUCUUUAUAUUCUAAGAGAUAUAUUAAUCGGUAAGGAAACUUUCAAAUCAACUUUGUGCUAAGAGAUUCUAGUGACCUUAAUUCAUAUCCAAAUUCAUUCACACACUAAAGAAUUGACCUUAACACCUAAAAAAAUUAAGAGUCACUUAGUACGACCUUAUACACAAUUCAAGAAUGGUUAGGAGCUUAAGUUAGAAAUUUUUUGGGUGUUACAAUAAUUUUGACGGUUUCAUCAGCUCUGAAAGCGCCAUUUUAGGCUAGGGGCAUUGUUGGUUUGAGCCCCGAGACUUCAGGUGUAAGUUUCUGCCGUUAGGCGUUUUAACUUAGAAGCUUAAGUCAAGGGUUGACAUUGGUCAAUAUUCUUGGUAAACGUGCUCAGAUGAGAAUUUCAUCAGUGCGGUUAGCUCAGAAAUGUCGAGUUUGGUCUAGAACAACCUCUCGUGCGGUUCCCUAGGCUUUUGGUCUCAUUUUGAGUCUUCUUGUGGUUUUAAAAUGGAACUUGAGUGUAAGACCCAUUUUUCAUAGAAAUAACCUCGGAUGAGAGUUUUGAUGGGCUCGUUGAGUCUGAAAUAUCGAAUUUGAUGGGGUAGAAUAUUUUGUUAGCACACACGGGGUUCCGAACGAAUCUUGGACACCCCAUUAGAGAAUUCGGAGCAAACUGUUGAUAUCUGGUGCAGGUUUUUAGCGACCAAAUAUCAAACUUAGAGUCCAAAUUUGGGUAUAUAUAACCCAAAAAUUUCAGCUUUAAGCCCUCAUUUUCAAAUGGCAAUUUCUCCCUCAUCCAAGCUCUGAUUUGAGUAAUUCGAAGUCUUGUGUGAUCGCAGGGAGCGUGGAUACUUGGGUUUGUGAUUAGAAAUUGUCAAAGAACCUUUGUUUGAGGUAAAUUUUAGCUCGAAGCUACUGUCUUAGCUUGGUUUUCUUAUUAAUUUUGCAUGUGGUGGUUUGGGCUAUUCCGAGCAUGGAAUUGAUCCCCGUUUCGGGGCACAAGCUCAACUAGUCGAUUAGGUCCUUUUGACGGAGUCAAUUUCAAAAUUCCAUGUGUGGGUCUCACAUUCUCAUUUUGACUCCAUUUUGGCUCCAUUUUCAAUUGUUCCAAUUUCAGUGUCAAAAUGCAUGUGAUGACGUUGUGAUUGAUAAUUUUAUCGUUUAGCAGUGUUCGGAGGCAUUUAGGAUGCGGAUAACAGUUUUACAUUGAAAAAGAGAAACUUUGAUUUCUAAAAAGAGUAAUGAGUUUAGAGAUUAAUUCAGAGCAGUUACUUUUUUUAAGAGGACAUUUUGUGUAAUUACCUUAAAUUGAGAAAGAAUAUGUUUUAGACAUUUGAGCAUGAGUAUAUAUAUUUAUUGGGAGUAGUAUUGAGAACCGAUAUGGGUAUGAGUUAUGACAACUCACGUUCCUCAUAAACCAUGUAGCCAACAUGGGUAAAUGAUCGUACUUUUUAGAUGACUCCUUAUUGCUUUCGAGCAUAGCUUAGUGGAUCCACUUAGUUGAGGUGUUCUAUACCCCGACAAGGUAUAGGACAAUUUUAAAAGUGUGGGCGAGACGUUGUAUCAUCACAUAACUCACAAUGAUGGUUGUCGGUUAGAGAAUCUCCCAAAUAAGAGUGAAGAGUAACUUAUUGUAUUUUUAUACACAUCUUUGUGUUAGUAUCUUUUAUUAAUGAAACUUUAAACAUUUCAUCUUUUGUUAUUGCUUUGUUAUACUAAUCUUGAUUAUUUAUUCAAGUGUACCAAAAGAAUUUACCUUAUUAGAAUGCAAGAAUAAAAGACGUAUACUAAUGAUUGGGGAAAUUUAAGGGCAGCAGCUUACUUAGAAUUCAUGCAUGGUAUCUUCUUCUAUGGACUUCAAUUAGUUAUCAAAAUCGCUGAUUUACAAGGUUAAAUGUAUGAUCAUGGUCUCUCGACCUCUUGGCAGUCUAACUACAUCGUUGAUCGGGGAUAAACUGAAUCAAUUGCGGGGCAUUAAGUUAUCAUCUUGUUUAGUAACCAAGCAAUGUCUCUAGGUAUAUCCCUAUCCUAGAUACAAAUCAACCCUAAUUCUAGAGAAGAUCGUGCUCUUUUUGUCCCACGUUCUAUCCUCAUAUUCCUCUCCCUAGUUCAAUUGAGACAAUAUAUUUAUUUCAAUGGUGGUCACUCACAAAAUACUAAAAUAAGAACAAAAGAGCAUUUUAUGCGAUGACAAUUUUUAAUACAUAAAAUUCAAUACUAUACAAUCAUCAUGUAGCCACAACCCUAGAACAAAGGUCUUCAGUUACUAAUGCCUAAGAAGAGAAAAAAUAAGAAAAGAAUCCUAAAAAAGUAUCGACAACGUAUCCUUCCAAAGUCUCCGUAUAUCCUCCAAUAAUUAUUCUUAUGGACUAUUUAUAAAUGUAGAAAACCCUAAAAAAAAAUAGUAGAGUCCAAACAAAUUGGGAAAGCAAAACCUACACGAAAUUGGAGGUGCCUUCAUUCAGUGCCAUGUGGCAACAAGAUAAUUGUCUAUCAAAAUCUGCUUCCUUUCAAUUCUGCGUACAUUUGAAUGUAUAUAAAUAUUAAUAUAAUGUUCAAUUUAAUCCAUCAAAUUUUCUGCUUUCAUUCUUCAACCUUUCAUUUUUAAUUCAUUUUAGCUCCAAACUUCUCUAUCUUCACACCAAUUUAAUCCUACAAAUAAAAUAUACUAUUAAGUACAAUCCACAAAAAUUCAUGCCCAAAAAUAACAAAUAAAAAUAAUAAAUGUGAGGCAAAUAAUGAUUUAAAAUAUGUAAUUUUGCCUCACAUCAUAUAGUAUGUGUGGAAAGCUCUCAAAUUGUGUUCAACUUAACUGAAGUAUAUGGGCUUCAUACGAUGGAGGAUAGGAAAAUGCUAUGGCAGGAUCCCAGGGAGAUACAUAUGAAUCAACAAGGGGCUUGGCUAGCACUGGGAGAUUAUAAUGCUAUACUUGAUUCUGAAGACAGAAUAAUAGGAAAUCUAGUUAGAGAAAUGGAAAUUGUGGACUUUAAUGAAUUCCUACUUGAUAGUAGUAUAAUUGAAAUGCGAUCAAGGGGUAGAAGUUUCACUUGGACUAACAGACAUAUUUCUAGAAAGAUCGAUCGAGUUCUAGUCAAUGGGGAGUGGAUGUUAAUGUUCCCACAACUAGAAGUCCACGUUAUGGACCCAAAAUUUCCAGACCAUUCUCCACUUAGAGUCCAGAUUGCUAUGGAAAACUAUGAAUACCCAAAACCUUUCAGAUUCUUGAAUUGUAUUGUCGAUCAUGAAGAGUUUUUGGGGUUGUGCAGAGAGUGUGGCUUCAUAGUAGAAGAGAAGGGUAUAUGAAAAGUGUUUGGAAAAGUCUUAAAUUGAUAUCAACUUAACAUUCUAAGACAACAGUUGGAUGAUAUCCAAACCACCAUGAGACAUCCUGAACAUGAUCAUGAUAUUUUUAGACAGGAGAACACACCUCUACAUCUUUUCAUAUCUAUUGUCAGAGGAUUGCUGCUCAUAACUACUAGCUAUCCAUCUAGCCCACGAUAGCGAAGUCUCAAAAAAAAGAUUGGCAUUAAGCUAUAACUACAAAAAUGGGACAACAUUGUUGGGAGUAUCUUAAAGAAGAAAUCUAGAAUGACUUGGCUAAAAUUAGGAGAUGCAAAUAGAUCCUUUUUUUUGCUAGCAUAAAAUCUAGAAUAUCCCAUAACAAAAUUAAGAGUCUUACUACAUCUGCUGGUAUUGUCCUACUCACACAAGAUGAGGUCAAAAAUGAGAUAAUCAACUUCUACAGAGGUGUGCUGGGAACUGCAGCUACACACUUACCUACCGUAAAUCCAAUCCUAUGCUGGAUAGACAACAUCAAUUGAAACUCAUUGAAUUUGUUACUAAGAAAGAAAUCCUAAAUGCACUUAAAGGGAUAGAGGACUCAAAAGCACCAGGAUGUAAUGGUUACAACACUUAUUUCUUUAAGAAAGCAUAGAAUGUCAUAGGCGAGGAGGUCAAAAAUGCUAUCUUGGAAUACUUCUCAACUGAAAAAUGUUUAAGGACAUAAACUAAACAAUUAUAACACUGAUUCCUAAAGUCAAGAACCCAACUAAGGUCAUUAAAUACAGGCCAAUAUCAUGUUGUACUAUUCUCUAUAAUCCCAUCUCAAAGGUUUUAACUGCUAGGAUGAGAGUGACAAUGGAUGGGCUAGUGCAUGCUAGCAAAUCUGCGUUUGUUCCAGGGAGAGUGAUCACUGAUAACAUUAUCAUGAGCCAUGAUAUCAUCAAAUGGUACGGAAGGAAACAUAUAUCCCCUAGAUGCAUGAUGAAGAUCGACAUGAAGAAAGCUUAUGAUUCUAUUGAAUGACCUUUUCUAGAGCAGGUAUUGAAAAUUAUCAAUUUCCCACCUAUAUUUGUGAAUUGGAUUAUGACAUGUGUUACCAAAGUGUCUUACUCUAUACUCAUUAAUAGUGUGCCUACUGUCCCGUUCAAUGCAAAAAAGGACCUUAGACAGGGUGAUCCCUUAUCCCCUUAUCUCUUUGUGUUGUCUAUGGAAUACUUGAAUAGACAACUACCAACUUUGAAGAACCAACUUGAUUUUAACAUUUAUCCCAAGUGUGGGAAGUUGUCCAUCACACAUCUUGGCUUUGCUGACGACUUACUACUUUUCAGUAGAGGUGAUCUAACAUUUGUUCGUAUGAUCUAUGAAUAUUUUAAUGUAUUCUCUAAUGCAUUUGGUCUGGUAACAAACAUUGAGAAGAGCUCUAUUUAAUUUGGAGGUGUACCAAUGGCUGAGCAGGAAGCAAUAUUACAGAGUUUGGUAUUUGCCAAAGGUAUCCUUCAUUUCAAAUAUCUUGGCAUCCCUCUCACAUCAAAGAAGACAAUCAUUAUCCAAUAUAAAUCACUACUAGAUAAGAUGUUGGAUAGGAUAAAAUUCUGGACAUCUAGAUUUUUGUCAUAUGCAGGUCGGGUGCAAAUGAUCAAAAAAUAUCCUAUUUUCUAUCCAAGUAUUUUGGUCGCAAGUUUUCAUCCUUCCACAAAAGGUGAUCCAAGUGGCAAUAUCAUUGUGUAAAAAGUUAUUGUGGUCUGGUGGAGCUGACACUAUAAAGACAUCAAUAAUAGCACGAGAGAAAUUAUGCAAUCUAAAAGCAGCAAGGGGAAUGGGAUUCCUAGAUAUUACAGACUGGAAUAGAGCUGCAAUUUGCAAACAUCUAUGUAACUUUUUCUUGAAGAAAUAUAGACUAUGGAUCCAAUGGAUUCACGCAUAUUAUAUCAAAGGGGGCCGAUCUAGCAUACAAAUGCCCCCAAGCAUCUUGGAUGAUAAAGAAGAUUCUUAAGGCCAAUGAUAGUGUUAAAGCUACUGGAUAUAAUGAGUAGGAAGUGGUUGCUAUAAAUAAGUUGAGUACAAAGCUAAUAUACUCUUAGUUAAGGCGAACUUAUACCAAAGUACACUUGAGAAGAAUAGUAUGUAACAAUCAUGGUGCCCCAAAAUGGAAGUUUAUAUUGUUCUUAGUUACUUUAAGGAGAUUAUUGACCAGUGAUAGACUAGCCAAAUGGAACACUAUUACUGAUGGGGUUUGGACAUAAAUAUCGAAAAAUCAAGAUAUCAAACUGAACCAAAUUUUUUUGGUAUUUCACUUUUUGGUAUGUUUUUUUGUGUUUUCAGCAUUUUAGUUCGGUUUCAGUAUGUGUUUUUGUAUUUUUGGUUUAACCAAAAUAUACAUGUAUAUUUCACUUUUCAAUUGUAACACCCCAAAAAUUUCUAAGUUAAGACUCAAAUCAUUCUUCAUUUGUAAAUAAGAUUGUACCGGAUGAUUCUUAAAUUUCUCAUGUAUGUAAAGGUCAAUUAUUUAAUGUGGAAAUGAAUUUGGAUAUGAGUUAGGUCACUAGAAUCCCCUAGCACAAAGUUGGGUUGAACGCUUCUAUACCAAUUAAGUUUUGAUGUAAGAUUCUACUUGGGUCAACUUCAAACAACCAUAUCUCUUAGAAUAUAUAGGGUUACGUGGACCAUAAUCUAUUAUAUUAAAUGUAUUUGAAUAAUCUUUCCAACGCCACCAAUUUCACAACAAUCUAAGUUCUCAGUAAAAUGUUAUGACAAUUUUAGUAACCUGAUACAGUGAAGUGAUGAAUUAGCCGACGGGAAAACAUUAAAAAGGGUUGUUUUUGUCUUUUUACCUCUAAGAAAACCCUAAACGAAUUUCUUAACUAAUUAAAGGCCCAAAAAAUCAGAUUUUCAUCUCUUAAUCCCUCAUUUUCUUCUCUCUCACCCCUAAGGCAAAACCCUAAGGAAAGAUCAAAGUAGAAUACUUUCAUUCAAGAUUCUUUCAAUCUUUUUUAAGAUUCUUUCAAUAUUUUUCAAGAUUCUUUUUCAAGGUAAGUCCUUCUCCAAGAAUUUCAUUCUUUCCAAUUCAAAUUCUUCCAUACAAUUAUGAAUCACUAAUAAAAAUUAUAAUUCUUGGCCGUAGAGAUUUCAAGAAACUAAUUCAAGAAAGGAUUUUUUGAUUGUUCUCCUUCAAGCUAGAGUUUCAAGGCUUCUGAUCAAGUUCUUCUUCAAGAUUAUUCAAGAACCUUGUUCUUCCAGGUAUGUAAGGUUAUCAUAGUGUUGGACUAGUUCUUCUUUACGCCCUACAUCUACUUUCAAAUCAGUAAAAGAGUAAUCUAGAAUUUUAUCCCUAGAUUUGAGUAUUCUUGAGAUGAGAUGAUUUUGAGUUCUUGAGUUCCUGAUUCUUUUGAAAUUCUAUUCCUAAUUAUUGAAUUGCCAUUUGUUAGGCAUUAAGAUAUAUUUCAACAUGAACGCUAUGAAUUGAGUAUUCUUGAGAUGAGUAGUAUAAUUGAGUUUUGAGUUCUUUAUUUCUGAGUAUUGAGUUUUUCAUAUUAUUAUUGAGAUCAUUGAGUUGAUUUGUUCAUGUCUAUAUUUCAGAAUGAACCCUAUUUUAAGUUAAAAAUUUUGAGAAUCUUUUAAAAUAGAUAUUUAUGCCUUAUACUGAUUUUCUGAGAAAAUAAAGAUGAGUUUUGAGAAAGAGUUUUAAUCUUGUUCUGGCAGGGUGGGCGAGACGUUGUAUCAUCACGUAGCUCAUAGUGAUGGUUAUCGGUAAGAGAAUCUACCAAAUAGAGUUAAAAGAGUAUUUUUAUUAUAUCACUUAUUAUGCUAAGUUCAAAAAUAAGUAAGUAUUUUUGUAAACUUUUAAUAAUUUCACCUCUUUAUUUCUUUACAUUUAGUUGAGUAUAUGUCUAUAUCUAUUGCACUCCUUUCAUUUAGUUAUUUGUUAUCCAGCUUGUUACGACCCGAUUUCAAAAACUAAAGGUUUCGAAACCAUUUCAUAACUUUUGCAAGUUUAUUGAUUUUUGGGAAAAAUAACAAUUUGGAAGUCGCCACUUAAUUUUUAGGAAAAAUUAAGAAUAAUAGGGGAAUAUUUGAAAGAAAACAUUUUAAAUAAAAUCAGACUCAGGUAAGGGUUCAAAUAAUUCUCUAAGGAGGGGUUUAGGCAUCUUAGAGAAUUUGCUAACACGCGAUUGACCGAUGGAUUUAAAAGCUUGGCUAAUUUUAUUAAAAAAAAAGGGUUACUUAUAAAAAUAUCUUGAUACUUCUAAAAAUCUCAAGAAUAAUCUUAACUUAAAACUUUUAUCCAUAGUCAUGUUUUGAACCAUACAAUUAAUUCAAACUCAUAAACAUGGAUUAAAGGACCUUGUUUAACAACUAUGAAAGGAUAUUAAGGAUCCUUAAGUCAUUCAUACAAAGUACUAAGUUAAAUUAAAGGACAACUAAUUUAUCUUAAGAAACUUAACAAUUUUAUCCUAUUCAAAAAUUUGAACUAAAUAGUUAGUUCAAACUCAUAAACAUGGAUUCAAAGCUUUUCAAUAACUAUGAAAGAACAUGAAAGGUUCUUUAAGUCAUUCUAUAAGCUUAAAUUACCUAACUUAAAAUGGGUUUUGGGAUUUGAAAACUUGAAUAACAAAAUAAAAAAUAUUUCUCCCAAAGAUUCAUCUAAAUUAACAAAAUAAAUGUUAGAAAUUAAUGAUAUACCGUGAGUUUACGGUAUUGUUAAUACAUUUCACUUGAGAGUUGUGUGUGUCUAGGGCCAUUCUGUAUUAGUUCUUAUGUGUUUUCUCAUGUUUUCAGGAAUAAGUUCAGAUGCGGAGAUUUGAAGACACAGCUGAAAGACGUGCAAAAACAGCAUCUACGGAGGAAACCUACAAACAAUAGGUCCAGUUACGCCCCGUAAAUGAUGGACGUCGAUGGGCAGGCAAGGCAUGGCUGAAGAUCAGGAAAUUCUCGACCAAGUGUAGAACCACGGUUGCAACUUACGAACCGUAGAUUGAUCUACGGACCGUACUGUUGCUCCGUAAAAUGUGACAGAAAUUUGGUUCCAGCACCUGAUGCUGAAAAGUCUAAGUAUGGAGCUACGGAGAGGAGUUACGGACCAAAGAUUAACUUACGGUCCGUACUGUUGAACCGUCGAAUAUAACAGAAGUUUGGAAGAUUUUGAAGAUUGAAAAAUUGCCCAAGUCCUGAGCCACGGAAAGGACCUACGGACCGUAGAUAGACUUACGGACCAUAGGUCAGUGUCGUAGAUUAAAGACGCAUCAUGUAAACUUUAUUUCCUUAUUUCGUUUCCUUUUUAGUUAGGACUUGUUUUCCUAUAAAUAGGGUACGUAAACCUCGUUUUUGGGGUUAGACUUUAUUACUUUUAUUCUAGUUCUUGACUUGGGAGAUCAACUUGCAACUUUAGCAAUACUUAAUUUUCUAAGUUCGUUUUGAAGAUUUUGGUGUUGAAAUUCAAGUUGAAGUCUGGGUUUAUUAUUCUUGUUACGUAAGUUCAUGAUUUCUUCUUCUAAAACUAUGAAUCGUGUUCUUGCUAAUACGGGUAACUAAAUCCACAACUAGGGUUGUGGAACCAUGAGCGAUUAACAAAGUGUUGUUGCAUGCAUUAGUAAUUCUUUCGUUUAGAAGUCUUUUUAACGAGAGCAUGUGUUAAAACUCGCCUUGUUGCUACUUGCCGGACCAAGGAGGUAGUUAAUAAGAAAAGAAUUAUCAACAUAGAUUUAGUGUGAUACUAUCUAAUAGAAUUAAUGUCGAUUGGUGCGAGGGUGAAAACUAAGUCAUACAUCGAUGUGACGUCUAAUAUGAGGUAAUGGUAAGGGUUAGUAAAUGAUACACACGUAGCCGGACCAAGGUGCGGGGUGAAAUUCUCUAGAUGCCGGGCCAAGGAUUUAGAUACACAUAACUUAUUGUUUUGCAUGUAAUACACUAGGAAGAGAUUGCUAUUACUAGGAUUACAGAGUUAUGAGCUUAUGGGGAACACGUACUCCCUAGUUUCUUUCUCAAUUUGAUAACAACAAAAGUUUAAAUCUUGCUUACUAAUUACUUUCAUAACUUCCAAAAUUUGUUACACAAAUCCCCCCCCCCUUUUACUUAUUUGUCUCGGAAAUACAUUUGCUAAACGAAUAUAAUCGUUAUUGAACUUAAGUAUAAAUCAUAUUCCUCGUGAAAUUGACCCCAACCUACAAGUUGGGUUCUUUACGUGAUAACGAUCGCUUAUGCUUCUGAAAAGAGGUGUAAUUUGAGCGUAUCAAUUAACGGCAAUUAUCACAAAAUCACAAUAUAAGAAGAAUAAAAGGGCGAAUAGAACUUGGACAAUUUUAAGUACACUUACUGCUUCUUAUUUGCUGCUGCUGGUGCUAAAAUGAUAUUUCCAGCCUUUUGAGACUACUGAAACUGGUGCAAAAACCAAGUGUUCUAAUUUCGGCCAAUUUGAACCGAAAACACUCUCAUUUCAGCUCUUUUGUGCCCCUGUUGCUGCUUCUGAUUUUGGGUUUUUAACCCAAUUUCGCUUCUCAUUUCUCAGCCUUUCAAGGCUGCUGUAGUGGCUGGCUCUUAGGUUUUAUCCCAGUAAUAUUAACCUCCUUUCAAUUGGCUUAAAGGAGGUUGACUCGAGGAGAGGAGUAUGCAAGAAUAGGAGUCCAAUUGGACUCAAACGAGAGAGUUCAUGCCAAGGAAAAAAGGGAAAAAGAUUAACAACAUUUGAAUGAUAUCAACUUGAGCUUAAAACAAACAAUGUCAUGUGAGCUCAAAACUCUAAUUGGCAUGUUUAUCAUGGCUAAAAUUAUACCAAACUUAACCAUAUACUACUAUCGAUCACAGAAAAAAUAAAGAUAAAGCAAAUAUAAAUUAGAGAAAAGAACUAUAUCAAGUAAAUAUGAACUUACUGCUUAAGGAAACAAGCUGAUGUCAACAUGAAUUAAUUUAAGACAUGACACAGAUAGCCAUAUUCAAACACAGCAAUAAAGAAAAAACUACCAAGAGCAAGCAAAACUCUAUCUAGAGUUACUGAACCAGAAUUACAACAAAGAACAUCUAAGGGCAAUCAAGGGUAGCACUUGAAGAUUUACGGCAGUUGAGGUUAGAUUAACUACAAACAGUAAAGAAAAGAGUGGUAUAUUUGCACCUAAAAUCAGUAAAUGAACACGAGAACAUAUUUAUAAUAUUGUCAAAAUUAUUUGAACACCACAUAAUUUCAUAAGCAAUUUAGAAUCUGUGUAUAAAAUAACAUUUCCAAGAUGGAGGCACUUAACAACAAUAGGCAGCCACAACUUAAUUAUGACAACAACUAAACAGAGGUUUCUUACUCCUACUUUAACACAACCUUUGAUCAAACCAAAAAGGAGUUUGAAACAGAUUCAAGUAUAGUUUAAAGAUAAACAACUUUAGACUCAACUUGAUCAAGUUUUAAGCCAAUUCAUUUAGCAUAUACGAAAGGCAAACAAGAAAGAGCAAGGAGAUAUAAAAUAACUUAGAGAAUUUAAACAAGGAUCUAAGUAGAGUAAUCUAAUAAAUUUUAGGACGUAUAAAAGCUAUGAUAUGAGCUUUCAUCCAUCCCAGCCUAACUCUUUGGAGAGUGUUAAAGAGCAGCCCCAAAGGUAAGCAAUUUCUCACUCAGACAGGCUCUCGAUUGGCAUUGAAAGCCAAUGGUCUGUUAUUUGACAAAUCACACCAACAGAUUUUACAAAAUAGACAGACAUAGAUGACAUUCAACAACGAAUACAGGCUUCAAAGAAAAAAAAACAGAAGAUGAAAACCUUAAAACUGAUAAAACUAAACUCCAUAUUUCAGAUUUUCAUUACCACUUAGAUAGGUUAAUCAAUCAAGAUAAACUAGAUACUUCAAAAGCCUUUCCAAAUCAAAAUGAAUUCAAGUUACAAAAUCCAACCUAAUAGCUAGGAAUGCUUGAACAUGAAAAUCACAACUCUAACUCUAUUCAACACUAAUUAAACUUAUCCCAAGACAAUAGCAAAUGCUGAAAUUAAGGCAUGACUAUCCUACAUAUAAAUUAACCGAGUUCAAAGAUGAGCAAUUUUGCUAUUUUUUUUAAUCUAUUAGAAAAAUACUUAAACAGCUAAUGCCAAACACAUUUCAAUGAACAAGACAUAAUUAAGAGCCAACAUAAAUGUUGAAAUAAAGAGAAGAUUACCUGGUUGUGGGCAGCGAACCGGACGAUGAGUUUGACGGAGACGGUUCCACUACCUCUUUCAACUCGAAUGAUCACAAAAGCCACAAAACUUUAAACUAUUGAGCCGAGAAUUCCCAAACCCUUUUGGGGUACUCUCAAUCUCCAAAAACCGUCCCUUUGAACAGUGAAUGGGGUUGGUUUAUAUAAAAACCAAAAAAAAUUCCAAAAUGGAAGAAAUCUCGAUAUGGGACUGUUGCAAAUUGAAAAUCGUUUGAGAAACGAUGUGGGUGAGGCCGAAAUCUCCAAUUUUCGCAGUGGAUAAGGUGUAUGAGCUGGGGAGUGUACGAAUUUGAAAUGAAAAUGAAGAGAAAAAGGAAAUUGGAAUGGACCACACCAUGGUUGCCUCCGGAAGCUCCGAGUGUCUUUAGGCUCGUGCUAAGCACGCAGAUUGUACGAAUAUGAAGUAAAAAAGGGGAAAUUUAAGGCGGCAAAUUUGGGAAUGGGUUCGUUCUUUGGUUUGUUCUGUUCUCGCGUCUCUGUAUUGAGAAUGAGAAGGAGAAGAGCAUGGAGGAUUUUGGGCUUAAGAAUGGGCCGG